AUAGCAUUUAUAUGGAUAAGUCGAUAAUUGUUCAGAAAUUUCUAGGCUCGAUUGUCUUUCUUUGCAUGGGUCCGUUGUACCAAUUCAGGUCGUAUUCAAGAAAAAUCAACCCAACAAGUAUAUAUACUUGCACGUAAACGAAUGCGGUCAUAACCCGAAACCAAAAGCGGUCAAACUCACUUCAGUUUUUGUUUGAGUUUAGAUAGUUCAAAAAAGACCAAUCGGGACUCAAGUGAUUGGUCCGAUUAUAAACCCGAAAUAUCCAUCCGCUAAAAAGGACUUGUCAGUGAUUGGUUAUUUCAGCUUCAAUAGCAAAACCAAGCCUAACCAAAUAAACAGAACCCACAAGCAUACGUUAUUUUACCAACACCAUCUUCCCCGGAAUUUUCACCACUGCAACUAGGAUUCACUCCGGUCGGCUUCCGGCAUGUUCUGCUGUUGUGACCUCUCUCACCGCAUAUUCCACAUUUGUGAUACCUAGUGGAAAUGCCUUUAGUGACUAUUGAUUUCGACUUAGGACAAGUUCUACGGUUGUGGCCUUUCCCGCCGCAACCCCGACAUCUAAAUUUUCUGUCCGCAUUAGUGCCUAGUUCUGGACAGUAAUGGCGUCUAUGGCCUUCCUGUCCACAGUUCUUGCAGUAAAACUUAGUUCCUGAAUCAAUGAGAGAAAAAUGGUUCUUUUACCAUUUCAUAGCUUGCACAUGGAACUGUCACCACAAAAGGAAAUCAAAUCGAAACCUACAUUUCUACACUUCGAAUCAACAUUAUAUCUCAACUUUAAGUGACAAGCCUCAACCUAAUUCAUCACAGUGAUCUCACAUUAUUGGAGAAUGUAAACAGAUAAAGCUCAAGAAACAAAAGAGUACUACAUGGACCUAAACUCUGAAAUUCUACCAAGAAACUGAGACUUACCUUUCAUAGAUAGGCUUCUCUGUUCACGGUUUACAGGGUUACUGAAGAAAGCUUUCAUAGAUUCGGAUGCAUGCUUUCUAGCAGCUGGUGUUCCUUUAGCUUUCUAGAACACAACAACACUAAGCAGAUUCAAGGGAAAAAAACAACAAAACUUGUUCCAUGUUAAUUUAGGAUAUAAAACAAAAUGGAGUAGAUUACAGACCUUAAUUGCAGCUACUCUUUGAGCAUGAAGCACUGGAUCACGAUGUAUAAUCUUCAUGCGCUUACUAAAAAGUCCAGUUUUGGCAUUGAGACUCUAUAAAAACCAUAAUUUGGACUGACUAUGACAAUUUCCCAUGGAGAGAGUAGAAUAACAUGAAGUGUAUAUGAAUGAAACUAACUUUUAGAGAUCGGCUGAUCUUUUGUCCAACUUCAGGAGUUGGUGACUGAUAAAUCCGCUUCGAUUUUCGCCUUUUACUGAACUUUAUCUCUAAAUUAUCAACCUCAUCAUCCUCCUUUACUCUAAAUGGAGAACUGUGGCAGAAAAAAAUGAGGUUUAUUAGUCAAACAUUAAACAGAAUUAAGACUUCAACUCUU